UGGGGAAUUUUCCGCAAUGGGCGAAAGCCUGACGGAGCAAUGCCGCGUGGAGGUAGAAGGCCCACGGGUCGUGAACUUCUUUUCCCGGAGAAGAAGCAAUGACGGUAUCCGGGGAAUAAGCACCGGCUAACUCUGUGCCAGCAGCCGCGGUAAUACAGAGGGUGCAAGCGUUAAUCGGAAUUACUGGGCGUAAAGCGCGCGUAGGUGGUUUGUUAAGUUGAAUGUGAAAUCCCCGGGCUCAACCUGGGAACUGCAUCCAAAACUGGCAAGCUAGAGUAUGGUAGAGGGUAGUGGAAUUUCCUGUGUAGCGGUGAAAUGCGUAGAUAUAGGAAGGAACACCAGUGGCGAAGGCGACUACCUGGACUGAUACUGACACUGAGGUGCGAAAGCGUGGGGAGCAAACA
rnacentral:rRNA from 1 species